AGCAGUGUGGCUUAGUGGAAGAGCACAGGCUUGGGAGUCCGAGGUCAUGGGUUCUAAUCCCAGCUCCGCCA
rnacentral:tRNA from 1 species